GGAACAAAGGAACUCACAAGGUCCAUGUUGCAGAGCAGGAAGGAGAAGAAGCAAGCAGAGGGCGACGAUAGUCCAGCGCUUGGGGAACUGCUUCCACCAGGAAGGAGAAAAAGCUUCAUCUCUCCUCAAACAAAGCAGUGAUCAAUAGUCUUCUAAGGCUGUCGCUUCUAGAUCUUUGAAGGUGCCGCUUCAGCAGCGAUAUCUUUGCUUCUUCCGGCAUCCAACCAGUUGCUCCUACCCAACAAAAAAAUAGAAAAAAAAAGAGCAAAUCAAGGAUGUUUUCAGGCUGAAUAAAGUGUUAUAAGCAAGAAAUCAACUUCUUUAUGUCAUGGUCAAGACCUACUACUUUACACUACCUGCAUAUCACAUUGCCACUUCAUUUGAGGAUCAUACUACUAGAAAUGACAAGACAAAGCAUCGUUCGUACCAACAAAUGUAUGGCCAUCCUAAUUCUGAAUGAAAUAUGUAUGCACCUCCCACUCCUAGUCCCAGGGUAACAAUAUAAUAGAUUAAGAUUUGGUGGGGAUGAAUAAGGGGGCACCUGUGCUUAAGUGCUGGGCCGUGGUUUCUCUUGGUGUUGAUGAAGAGAAGAGGUCUUUUUCCUCCGAUGAACAAUUGUGGAUGGAUCGAUGCAUCAAAUGCAUCAGUUCAUAGAGAUCGACAUCUUUCAUUCUUCCACUUCUUCCUCUUGGAGACGGACGGAUGGAUCAGCUGGAUCCAGGGCUCCAUAUGUCUCCAACAGUUGGUGAUGAGGGCCGUUAAAAAGUUGUAGCAGGGGCUGCACAGUGCCAUUGAGGAGCCAUGCAUCAGACCAGAAAAUCAAUGAAUUACCCAUAUUCACUUUAACUACAGUAAACCUUAUGUAUCCAUCACUGAGAUUCAUGACUUCUAUCCACCACAAGAAGCCACACAUCACUAUCACAAAUGGCACAACUCCAUCAUAAUGAGAAUUAUAAAUUAAGGAGACCCGGGGAACAUCAACUUUAGUAUACAACUUGCGUAGUUCUUACUUAUUGUAGCUGGAACACCAAAACUAUUUACAACGACACUAAAUAACUACUGAAGCAUAAGGCUACUAUCCCACGGUAAACAGAAUGAUGUUAUUGCAUUAGUGGAUUGAGUUUGCACGAACACACAAAGGCUGACAAGUAGUCAAGGUCUUGGUUAACUAGAAGUUGUAGCAUGCGAGAAAAGCGAUGUGUUAGUCAUUACACUGAAACAAGCUCUGGUUGGUUGAGAGAAAAUGGAUUUAUUGAUAGUACGACAAUCAUGGCUCGCCGAGGGCAUAAAACAAUAAAAUUUGAUAACAUUAAUUGUUUCAAGACUUACUCCCUCUGUAAAGAAAUAUAAGAGCGUUUAGAUCACUAAAAUUAGUGAUCCAAAACGCUCUUGUAUUUCUUCACGGAGGGAGUAUUUAUUCAAAAAGAUCCAAGCUUUAAGGUACUACAAAAAAGAUAUGUGUGUGGCCUUUAUUCAUUUCAUUAACCAGUGGGGAGGAACCAGUGGCUUACCUAUGCCGGAACCGAAGAGGAAGCAGCCACUGGAGGGGCAGAACGGGAGGCGUCGGAGUGAUCACCGGAG
rnacentral:lncRNA from 1 species